GUAUAACAUACGAAACACUAAUCUAUUAGGAUAUACAUUUACAAUGUAGCAAAAGAAAUGUGUGAAAUCUAAAGAAACAUUCAUCUUUUCAGAUAAUUAUAUAGUAUUUAUAAAAUAAAUUCUUCUUAAUGCACAACAAAGCUAAGAUGCAUAUUAUAUGUAUUAUACAUCCCAAAGGAUCACAUUUCAAAAAUAAGAAAAAACAACAUGUCUAGCAUGUACACUCGCCCACAAAAUGUUACAGGGUGCGCAAGCGUGUGGCAAAACGACCUUUCUUCCCUUCUAGCUGUGCACCCAUGGUAUCGAGUUUGCACGCAUGCGCGUCCCUCUGAGACUGCAAGCGUGCAUGUUUCUGCACUUCCUCCUUGUGCGCCGGUGAUAUCCGAAUGUAGCCGUGAAGUGCCCCUCUUGCGAUGGGCGCGAAACUAUGUGAAGCCUGAGCUUGCACGUGCCGCUGUGGCUGCUUUUUGUCGAGUCACGAGCGCCAACGCAUACGGCCCAGUGGCGAACCCAGCAAGUAAUUUUUUUUUAAUGAGCUGCACCAUUUUGUGUCCAAUCUUUGUUGUUUCUUUUUAUGAAUGGGGCAUUCUCCCACAGAAGAGCAUGUCAGAAAAUGCCCCCUAUAGAAGGAGACAGUGUCAACUCCCAUUGAAGACCAGCAGUUAGGACACAUGGACCUGUGACAGAAAAGCUGCCGGAUGGAUCUGGGACAGCGACGCUGGCCUGUACUUUCCUAUCGUCUCCAUUAUCCAUGGCAACCUGCUUUCAAGUCAUAGAAGGAAAAGGUGGAGAAAGACACACGCAGUCACUUCAUUGCAAGGACAGGUACAGAGACUUGUGGCCACCUGAAAAAGAAGCAUUUCUACUUCGUCUGUCACCGGUCUGGAAGUUAUGCUUCACAAGCUACAAGUAAACAAAAGCUGAAGCGGCCUUCAAGUGUCAAGUGUGGAAAAAGAUGUUUUGCGGCAAUGGCUGUGACUGAAGACAACACAGGGCACUAAACUUCAGUAAAAAAAAAUUUUAUGAGCCGCACAUUCUAGCAGACAAAAUAACCUGCAAGUACAUUGCUGGAGAAAAAGAAUGUCUCAUGUUGGUCUUGCAUAUAUAAGUUACACUGUUCUACAAUACGCUUGGACGAAAAUGAAAAGAAAAUGGUGGCACCUAUGGUUUGGAAAAU